GAUGAACGCUGGCGGCGUGCCUAAUACAUGCAAGUCGAGCGAACAGAUGAGGAGCUUGCUCCUCUGACGUUAGCGGCGGACGGGUGAGUAACACGUGGAUAACCUACCUAUAAGACUGGGAUAACUUUGGGAAACCGGAGCUAAUACCGGAUAAUAUAUUGAACCGCAUGGUUCAAUAGUGAAAGACGGUUUUGCUGUCACUUAUAGAUUGAUCCGCGCCGCAUUAGCUAGUUGGUAAGGUAACGGCUUACCAAGGCAACGAUGCGUAGCCGACCUGAGAGGGUGAUCAGCCACACUAGAACUGAGACACGGUCCAGACUCCUACGGGAGGCAGCAGUAGGGAAUCUUCCGCAAUGGGCGAAAGCCUGACGGAGCAACGCCGCGUGAGUGAUGAAGGUCUUCGGAUCGUAAAACUCUGUUAUUAGGGAAGAACAAAUGUGUAAGUAACUAUGCACGUCUUGACGGUACCUAAUCAGAAAGCCACGGCUAACUACGUG
rnacentral:rRNA from 1 species